rnacentral:rRNA from 1 species
GAAGCGGCAACAGCUCAAAUUUGAAAUCUGGCCCCUAGGGCCCGAGUUGUAAUUUGCAGAGGAUGCUUUUGGCGAGGUGCCUUCCGAGUUCCCUGGAACGGGACGCCAUAGAGGGUGAGAGCCCCGUCUGGUUGGACGCCGAGCCUCUGUAAAGCUCCUUCGACGAGUCGAGUAGUUUGGGAAUGCUGCUCUAAAUGGGAGGUAUAUGUCUUCUAAAGCUAAAUAUUGGCCAGAGACCGAUAGCGCACAAGUAGAGUGAUCGAAAGAUGAAAAGCACUUUGAAAAGAGGGUUAAACAGUACGUGAAAUUGUUGAAAGGGAAGCGCUCAUGACCAGACUUGGACCCGGUGAAUCAUCCAGCGUUCUCGCUGGUGCACUUUGCCGGGCUCAGGCCAGCAUCAGUUUGCCCCGGGGGAUAAAGGCUUUGGGAAUGUGGCUCCCUCGGGAGUGUUAUAGCCCAUCGCACAAUACCCUGGGGCGGACUGAGGUUCGCGCAUCUGCAAGGAUGCUGGCGUAAUGGUCAUCAGCGACCCGUCUUGAAACACGGACCAAGGAGUCGUCUUCGUAUGCGAGUGUUCGGGUGUAAAACCCCUACGCGUAAUGAAAGUGAACGCAGGUGAGAGCUUCGGCGCAUCAUCGACCGAUCCUGAUGUUCUCGGAUGGAUUUGAGUAAGAGCAUACGGGGCCGGACCCGAAAGAAGGUGAACUAUGCCUGUAUAGGGUGAAGCCAGAGGAAACUCUGGUGGAGGCUCGCAGCGGUUCUGACGUGCAAAUCGAUCGUCAAAUAUGGGCAUGGGGGCGAAAGACUAAUCGAACCUUCUAGUAGCUGGGUUC